UACGUAGGGGGCUAGCGUUGUCCGGAUUAUUGGGCGUAAAGAGCGUGUAGGCGGCCAAGUAGGUCCGGUGUGAAACUCGGGCGUUAACCUCGAGAUGUCAUCGGAAACCAUUUGGCUAGAGUCCGGAAGAGGAAAGUGGAAUUCCUGGUGUAGCGGUGAAAUGCGCAGAUAUCAGGAAGAACACCCGUGGCGAAGGCGGCUUUCUGGGACGGUACUGACGCUGGAGACGCGAAAGCGUGGGAGCGAACAGG
rnacentral:rRNA from 1 species